rnacentral:lncRNA from 12 species
CUCACAUCAACUGGAUGAUAUGACAAUGAUCAGUGUCUACAAGCCAAACAUUGCUAAGAGGACCAGGAUUCAUAGAGUGCCAUUCAAAACACCAUCCGCAUACUGCUUCUCCUGUUAACUUACACGUGUUUUCAUCAUGCAUCAUUACACAGCUGAAGUCUUGCACCAAAAAAUAAUCUACUUUAAAAUAAGUGAUAUUCAUUUUUCACUCUAGUUUUAAUAUGCAAUAUAUAUAUUGCGUUUUACUGGGGUUUUUUUUAUGUGGUUUUCUUAAACGAACUACCCAAUAUGAUGACGUUAAACUUGUCUUUAAUUUCUGGCAGUGGACCAGUAAAUACAGCUAAUCUUCCUCUGCAGGCGCUGUCGCCAGUAAUGAUGUCAGCUGAUUUGAGGGUCAGGGGAGGGCCUGAGACCCUUAGCAGAAGUAGCUAAUUUCUCUUUAUUAAACACUAAGUUCUGUUUUCCAACCCGUUUAGAGAGAUCUGAAUUGGCUGCAUGUUUAAAUUAGUUGUAGUUUAUAAUCCUUAAAACUAAACAAUUAAACAGGUUUAGCAUUUGUAAAUAGUACAUAAAUAUUGCUUUAAAUGAAUUUAUAUAUUUGGUUGUUGCAGCACAGAUACAAUGAUUUUAGUUCACUGGGUUGCACAGCAUUGCAUAAACUGGGUCUUCCCUCAAAUUUACAUUUGGUGGUCAUGUUUGGGUUUAAUGAUUGUGUUGAUUCCAUCAAUCCAAAGAACUACUCUUAAGUGAUGAAAGGAUAAUUAACUCUCGAUAGUAAUGGAGAAGCUGGCAGCCUGGACCAUCUUCCUCACCAUAUUAGGAAUGUGAGUGACUGAGAAUAGGGAACCGCUGUGAUUCGCAGGAACUGUUAAGUCAGUUGAGUUGAAGCCAUGCUAUUUUCAGCCAUCAGAAUCCCCGAGAGGGAAGAGUAGCAGCUUUGAAUCAGGAUCAGUGCCUGCAUUCAAGUGCAUACAUCUUGACCUGUGAUAGGGCAUGCUAGUAAAGCUAUGUGGUUCUUUGAGUAGUUUCUCUAUCCUUCUAGACUACAAUAAAGGUAAAAUAUUUUGGCAAAACAAUGCUUUAUAUAACAAUAUUUAUAUAUUCGUAAAAACACUGCUUCAAAUGACAAAUUCUGUCAUGAAACUCUGAUGAGUUGUUGACGCAAAUUGAUGAUAUUCACAUUAUUAAACUACUUGACACAAGCUGACUGGAUUAUGUUGCAUAUGCAGUCAAUGAACUUACUGCUUUACAUUUAAAUGUCUGGUUACCAUUCACUAGAGUUCAC